GGUGAACCUGCGGAAGGAUCAUUACCGAUGUGAAAAAUCCAAGGUUAAACAUCAUUAACCAGUGUGAACUGUACAACAACUCUUUAGGGGUCGGCACAGGCGUGUGUCGUUAAAUGGCGGAUAGGUUCCUUCCGCCAGCCCCGCCAUUGUGUUUAUUAUAUCACUUUGAACGUUAAAGACUGAGAACUAUGUAUCAUGCAUUAAAUGUAUGAGAAAGAAGGAAAGAAAAAUGAGAGACAACUUUUGACGGUGGAUCUCUUGGCUCACGUAUCGAUGAAGAACGCAGCCAGCUGCGAUAUGUAGUGUGAAUUGCAGACUUCAGUGAAUCAUUGAAUCUUUGAACGCAAAUGGCGCUCUUGGGUUCUCCCAGGAGCAUGUCUGUCUGAGUGUCGGAUUUUAUCGAACGCACUCGUGAGUGCGGUAUUGAGGUGUCACGGCGUGUUAGCAAGCAAGCAUUAAAUCGCCGUGUCCCUUGAAGGACAGCAGCAUUGGACUCGCAUUCUCUAUUGAAACUUGAGUGCGAAGGCUAAAGAUAAUAUUUUCCUUCGCCCAAACAUGCAAUAGCAGAAACAAAGUCCAAUCAAAGCGGUGACAGACAAUAAACAUCAAAUCUUGACCUCAGAUCAGGCAAGGCUACCCGCUGA
rnacentral:sRNA from 1 species